rnacentral:hammerhead_ribozyme from 1 species
ACCCAGGUGACGAGUCCCAAAUAGGACGAAACACGCGUCCUGGAU